rnacentral:rRNA from 1 species
AAAAAAAAUCGUUGAAUUGCAGCUUCUCUGUGCUAUAUAAAUACAUCUAGUGUGAAUUGCAGAAUUCAGUGAAUCAUCGAAUCUUUGAACGCAAAUGGCGCUCUUGGGUUUUCCCAGGAGCAUGUCUGUCUGAGUGUCG